GCUGGGCUUGGUGAUGCUUGCCUGUAGUCCUAGCUACUUAGAGGCUGAAAUGCGAGAAUGUCUGGCUAGCAGGAGCAAGAUAGAUCCCAUUUAAA
rnacentral:sRNA from 1 species